GAUGAAGAACGCAGCGAAAUGCGAUAAGUAGUGUGAAUUGCAGAAUUCAGUGAAUCAUCGAAUCUUUGAACGCACAUUGCGCCCCUUGGUAUUCCAUGGGGCGUGCCUGUUCGAGCGUCAUUUGUACCUUCAAGCCUUGCUUGGUGUUGGGUGUUUGUCUCGCCUCUGCGCGCAGACUCGCCUCAAAACAAUUGGCAGCCGGCGUAUUGAUUUCGGAGCGCAGUACAUCUCGCGCUUUGCACUCAGAACGACGACGUCCAAAAGUACAUUUUUACACUCUUGACCUCGGAUCAGGUAGGGAUACCCGCUGAACUUAAGCAUAUCAAUAAGCGGAGGA
rnacentral:misc_RNA from 1 species